rnacentral:rRNA from 1 species
UACGUCGGUGGCAAGCGUUGUCCGGAAUUAUUGGGCGUAAAGAGCUCGUAGGCGGUUUGUCGCGUCUGCUGUGAAAACGCGAGGCUCAACCUCGCGCCUGCAGUGGGUACGGGCAGACUAGAGUGCGGUAGGGGAGAUUGGAAUUCCUGGUGUAGCGGUGGAAUGCGCAGAUAUCAGGAGGAACACCGGUGGCGAAGGCGGGCCUCUGGGCCGUAACUGACGCUGAGGAGCGAAAGCGUGGGGAGCGAACAGG